rnacentral:rRNA from 1 species
GAUGAACGCUGGCGGCGUGCCUAAUACAUGCAAGUCGAGCGAACAGAUGAGGAGCUUGCUCCUCUGACGUUAGCGGCGGACGGGUGAGUAACACGUGGAUAACCUACCUAUAAGACUGGGAUAACUUCGGGAACCGGAGCUAAUACCGGAUAAUAUAUUGAACCGCAUGGUUCAAUAGUGAAAGACGGUUUUGCUGUCACUUAUAGAUGGAUCCGCGCCGCAUUAGCUAGUUGGUAAGGUAACGGCUUACCAAGGCGACGAUGCGUAGCCGACCUGAGAGGGUGAUCGGCCACACUGGAACUGAGACACGGUCCAGACUCCUACGGGAGGCAGCAGUAGGGAAUCUUCCGCAAUGGGCGAAAGCCUGACGGAGCAACGCCGCGUGAGUGAUGAAGGUCUUCGGAUCGUAAAACUCUGUUAUUAGGGAAGAACAAAUGUGUAAGUAACUAUGCACGUCUUGACGGUACCUAAUCAGAAAGCCACGGCUAACUACGUG